AACGUAGGUGGCAAGCGUUAUCCGGAAUUACUGGGCGUAAAGGGUGUGCAGGCGGGGAAGCAAGUGGGGUAUGAAAUCUCCCAGCUUAACUGGGAUAGGUUAUGCCAGACUGCUUUUCUAGAGGACGAGAGAGGGGCGUGGAAUUCCGGGUGUAGUGGUGAAAUGCGUAGAGAUCCGGAGGAACCCCAGAGGCGAAGGCGACUACCUGGCCUGUUCUUGACGCUGAGGCGCGAAAGCUAGGGGAGCAAACGGG
rnacentral:rRNA from 1 species